CAGCAGCCGCGGUAACACGGAGGGUGCAAGCGUUAUCCGGAUUCACUGGGUUUAAAGGGUGCGUAGGCGGGUAUUUAAGUCAGUGGUGAAAUCCUAGAGCUUAACUCUAGAACUGCCAUUGAUACUAUUUAUCUUGAAUAUUGUGGAGGUAAGCGGAAUAUGUCAUGUAGCGGUGAAAUGCUUAGAUAUGACAUAGAACACCUAUUGCGAAGGCAGCUUACUACGCAUAUAUUGACGCUGAGGCACGAAAGCGUGGGGAUCAAACAGGAUUAGAUACCCUGGUAGUCCACGCCCUAAACGAUGGAUACUCGACAUACGCGAUACACUGUGUGUGUCUGAGCGAAAGCAUUAAGUAUCCCACCUGGGAAGUACGACCGCAAGGUUGAAACUUAAAGGAAUUGGCGG
rnacentral:rRNA from 1 species